UUGUUCUGGGCAGCGCAUAUAAUAAAUUGUAAACGAUACAGAGAGAUUAGUAUGGCCCCUUAGAAAGGAUGACAUGCAAAUUCCUGAAGCAUUCCACAUUUUG